rnacentral:rRNA from 1 species
AGUGAACGCUGGCGGUAGGCCUAACACAUGCAAGUCGAACGGCAGCACAGUAAGAGCUUGCUCUUACGGGUGGCGAGUGGCGUACGGGUGAGGAAUACAUCGGAAUCUACUUUUUCGUGGGGGAUAACGUAGGGAAACUUACGCUAAUACCGCAUACGACCUACGGGUGAAAGCAGGGGAUCUUCGGACCUUGCGCGAUUGAAUGAGCCGAUGUCGGAUUAGCUAGUUGGCGGGGUAAAGGCCCACCAAGGCGACGAUCCGUAGCUGGUCUGAGAGGAUGAUCAGCCACACUGGAACUGAGCCACGGUCCAGACUCCUACGGGAGGCAGCAGUGGGGGAUAUUGGCCAAUGGGCGCAAGCCUGAUCCAGCCAUACCGCGUGGGUGAAGACGGCCUUCGGGUUGUAAAGCCCUUUUGUUGGGAACGAAAAGCAGCAGGUUAACACCCCGCUGUUCUGACGGUACCCACAGAAUAAGCACCGGCUAACUUCGUG